ACUGUAGUGUUGUCUGUUCAUAUGUUAUGCUUAGCUAAAGGCGAAGCUUCAGAUGUUUAAUUCACAUUUGUAGCUGCUGUAUGAUUGUAUGUGUGAGUGUAUAUGUACCCUGCAAUGGACCCGCCCUCUGCUGACCCCCAUGAACCUCACCACGAUACGCACCUAAAAGAUGCAUAGAUGGAUGGUAUGGCUUUGAUGCACGUUGUAUUUUUAAGUUAAAAAUGAAAGACUAACAUAUGUAACAAGGAUCUUUGGUACUUGAUCUCAUGAAAUUUCAAUAUCUGCUCUGAGAUGCAUUAUUGUUUGAAGCGAUUGAUGUCAGAAGCGGUUGUUGUGAGUUCUGUACACAGUCUGCAUUCUCUUUUUUCCCUUUCUGAUUCUGCUGUAGUGUUGCAUAACUGCUGUAAUGCUCAGAAGCUUAUGGAACAACAGCACUGAGUAUUUGGACGGCCCCGGCGAGAGACAGAGAGAGGGACAGAGAGAGAGGGAGAGACAGAGACAGAGAGAGGGACAGAGAGAGAGACAGAGACAGAAGCCACCGUGUAGGACAUCCCAGCAUGGCUGAUUGACUGUGCGUUGUUUCGGCCGUGUGGGGGGCGAACGUGCUACUCGGGAUGUGAACAUUGCCUUCUCAGGCGUUGGGUGUUACGGCCUUGGUCCUAAUUCAUCCUGACAGCUCUUCUACCAAAAGGAAGCAUAACAAUCCAUUCAAGGGAGGAAAACGUCUUUUUGGGACAUAAACAGAUCUUUUUAAAGUGUACUAGACUUGAUUUCUUUGGAUCUGUUUGAUUUUGUUACACUGUUUCUGGAACGAAUGCUUUUCUAUUAAACAUCUAAGCCAAAGCUA